GAUGAACGCUGGCGGCGUGCCUAAUACAUGCAAGUCGAGCGAACAGACGAGAGUGCUUGCACUCUCUGACGUUAGCGGCGGACGGGUGAGUAACACGUGAGUAACCUACCUAUAAGACUGGGAUAACUUCGGGAAACCGGAGCUAAUACCGGAUAAUAUUUAGCUUCGCAUGAAGCAAUAGUGAAAGACGGUUCUGCUGUCACUUAUAGAUGGACCCGCGGUGUAUUAGCUAGUUGGUAAGGUAACGGCUCACCAAGGCAACGAUACAUAGCCGACCUGAGAGGGUGAUCGGCCACACUGGGACUGAGACACGGCCCAGACUCCUACGGGAGGCAGCAGUAGGGAAUCUUCCGCAAUGGACGAAAGUCUGACGGAGCAAUGCCGCGUGAGUGAAGAAGGUUUUCGGAUCGUAAAACUCUGUUGUAAGGGAAGAACAAGUACGUUAGUAACUGAACGUACCUUGACGGUACCUGACCAGAAAGCCACGGCUAACUACGUG
rnacentral:rRNA from 1 species